UUUUAGAACUUGAUUAAAAGUUAGUUAUAAGAAUUUUCAGAACAGAUUAAUUUUUUAACAGUAUCUUUUAAAUUGCUAGAAACAUACAUAUAAAAGUCUACUUAUAAUUUUUUUUAGUUAAUUUCAUUUAUUUUUCCACGGUUUUUAUCAAGUACGGUGCAAACAAUGAGUAGGUAGCCGGACUGGGAUACAUGUAAGUAUUAUAUUAAGUUAUAAUCUGGACAAAACUAUAUACUAGAUUCAUCCUAGAAUGGAUCAAAUCUUGUUCUAGAUUAUAAUAUUUUGAAAUGGAGGAAGUAUUUAUUUUAGUAAAGUGCACAGGUUGUCUUUAAACUUAUAGAGAUAUGUCAUCUUGGUUCCUAAACUCUCAAAAUAUAUAUUCAUUUUUUCUUUUUCUUUUUCUUUUUCUUCUUCUCCUUUUUUUUCUUUUCUUUCUCCUUUCUCUGUAACCUAAGCACCCCGUGCAACGGUGGCCUACAGUUGCAUUGAGAGGAAGGAGAAGAAAGGGGAAAAGUGAAGGAAAAGAAAAGGAAAAAGGAAAAAAAGAAAAGAAAAAUUUUUAAGUAGGUCCUAUUUGUCAGUCAAGAUUAUGCCACAUCAUAUCUAUGUGGCAUGUCAUAUCAACGCCAUGUAGGAUUUAUUUUGGGCUAAACUUGAAUUUACAUGGCGAAGUUUUGUACUGCAUAAUAGGCUUUUCAGUGCCUUGGGCCGUGGCUCAGUUGGCCCGAUGCCUGGGUCCACCUCGCAACGUUCAGGUUUCGCUUAUGAGCGCCAAGAGACCGACCGCUGUCUAAUUAGUUCCCCACUCAUCCGUCAUGGUCGCGCAUAGCUGAGUCACCAAGGUUGCUUUGUCUUCGAAUACCCUAUCCUUCUAAACCGACCAUGCCACAAGGAUGACACCCGCACUGAACGUUUUUGCGGCCGAUCUUCGCCACCUCCUUGCGAGUCGCAUGUCACCAGAACACCAGAUCGGCGGAUGUCACCGAGCACGUCAUUCCAAGACGGCUGCACACCCGAUUCUUUGACCCUCUACGUAAAGUCAUAAUCUAUCUAUCUAUCUUUCUAUUAUAUUAUUAAAACAGCUUUGAAAUGAAACACCACGUUCGUUGUGGGGGCUAGAAAUUCCCAGAUUAAUCGGAGAAAAAGAAAAAAAAGAAAAGGAGAGUCCAAGCAAAAAUACAAUAUAAAAAUAGCUGAAAUUCGUAAUUAAAUAUAUGCAAUAUUGAAAGAAGUUUCCAUAUAAGAAACCAAUACAAGAUUAAUUAAAAUUCGAAAUAAAAAUAAAAUAAAAUCC
rnacentral:sRNA from 1 species